CGGCGGGGCCGCCCCUCAGCGCGAACCCGGCACGGGCCGCGGGGAAACAAAAAUCACCUCUCCAACCUCCGGGUGGGAAAGUCGGCAUUAAAGAUUCAGCCUUGAAAGGACAUGGGGAUGGCCCCCACAACAUGCACGACUCAGGCAAAUCACCUCACCAUCACUUUGCACAGUAUUUUAAUGGCCAAGGAUUCACAAGAGGAGCCAGGCAAGGAUAUGCUUGGUGAAAAGUACUGAGCAAGACAAGCACUGGGCAGAGCAGGUGACACUUCUGAGGCAGACAGGAUUGGCAAGUGGCUGAAAAAUGUGGAAGUCACCUUAUGCCCUAAAUCAAAGCUUCACUGCCCAAACCAGAAGAAAAACAGAGUCAUCACUACAGAAAGAUACACCAUAUUCAGAUUGUCCAAGGGAAAGUGUUCUGCUGUAUUUAUAUCCUGCCUCCCAUUUCUCUGACCUCACUGCUCAAUCUGAAGUACAGACUGCAUUCCAUUCUUCAGACAUCUGGGAAAAUUGUCAGGUUUUUGCUUUUACCUAAAGGGUCUCCCUUUCCACUGAAGUGCAUGGGGACAUACAGAGGUCGCUUUGGUUCCAUUUAGGAAAUUGUUGCUGAUUUUUUUUUUCUCAAGACUUUGAUGACAGUCAGUGUUACUAGUGAUACCAAGAAAGCAGUAGGCAUUCAUGAGAUAAAAAUAUUAUGGUCAGCAUAAGA